CUGACCUCGGAUCAGGCAGGGAUACCCGCUGAACUUAAGCAUAUCAAUAAGCGGAGGAAAAGAAACCAACAGGGAUUGUCCUCAGUAACGGCGAGUGAAGCGGCAACAGCUCAAAU
rnacentral:rRNA from 1 species